CCUACGGGCGGCUGCAGUGGGGAAUAUCGGACAAUGGGGGGAACCCUGAUCCAGCCAUGCCGCGUGUGUGAAGAAGGCCCUCGGGUUGUAAAGCACUUUCAGUGAGGAAGAACGCCUGGUGGUUAAUACCCAUCAGGAAAGACAUCACUCACAGAAGAAGCACCGGCUAACUCCGUGCCAGCAGCCGCGGUAAUACGGAGGGUGCGAGCGUUAAUCGGAAUUACUGGGCGUAAAGCGCGCGUAGGUGGCUUGAUAAGCCGGUUGUGAAAGCCCCGGGCUCAACCUGGGAACGGCAUCCGGAACUGUCAAGCUAGAGUGCAGGAGAGGAAGGUAGAAUUCCCGGUGUAGCGGUGAAAUGCGUAGAGAUCGGGAGGAAUACCAGUGGCGAAGGCGGCCUUCUGGACUGACACUGACACUGAGGUGCGAAAGCGUGGGUAGCAAACAGGAUUAGAUACCCUUGUAGUC
rnacentral:rRNA from 1 species